AGUGAACGCUGGCGGUAGGCCUAACACAUGCAAGUCGAACGGCAGCACAGUAAGAGCUUGCUCUUACGGGUGGCGAGUGGCGGACGGGUGAGGAAUACAUCGGAAUCUACUUUUUCGUGGGGGAUAACGUAGGGAAACUUACGCUAAUACCGCAUACGACCUACGGGUGAAAGCAGGGGAUCUUCGGACCUUGCGCGAUUGAAUGAGCCGAUGUCGGAUUAGCUAGUUGGCGGGGUAAAGGCCCACCAAGGCGACGAUCCGUAGCUGGUCUGAGAGGAUGAUCAGCCACACUGGAACUGAGACACGGGCCAGACUCCUACGGGAGGGAGCAGUGGGGAAUAUUGGACAAUGGGCGCAAGCCUGAUCCAGCCAUACCGCGUGGGUGAAGAAGGCCUUCGGGUUGUAAAGCCCUUUUGUUGGGAAAGAAAAGCAGCAGGUUAAUACCCCGCUGUUCUGACGGUACCCAAGGAAUAAGCACCGGCUAACUUCGUG
rnacentral:rRNA from 1 species